GUCCACGCCGUAAACGAUGUCUACUAGCCGUUGGGGUCCUUGAGGCCUUAGUGGCGCAGCUAACGCACUAAGUAGACCGCCUGGGGGAGUACGGUCGCAAGAUUAAAACUCAAAUGAAUUGACGGGGGCCCGCACAAGCGGUGGAGCAUGUGGUUUAAUUCGACGCAACGCGAAGAACCUUACCAGGUCUUGACAUCUAGAGAACUUUCCAGAGAUGGAUUGGUGCCUUCGGGAACUCUAAGACAGGUGCUGCAUGGCUGUCGU
rnacentral:rRNA from 1 species